rnacentral:rRNA from 1 species
AACGAACGCUGGCGGCAUGCCUAACACAUGCAAGUCGAACGAGACCUUCGGGUCUAGUGGCGCACGGGUGCGUAACGCGUGGGAACCUGCCCUUAGAUUCGGAAUAACUCCCCGAAAGGGGUGCUAAUACCGGAUAAUGUCUUCGGACCAAAGAUUUAUCGCCUUUGGGUGGGCCCGGGUUGGCUUGGCUAGUUGGUAGGGUAAAAGCCAACCAAGGCGUCGAUCCAUAGCUGGUCGGAUAGGAUGAUCCGCAACACUGGGGCUGCGACACGGCCUCGACGGCUACGGAAGGGAGCAGUGUGGAAUAUUGGACGAUGGGCGCAGGCCUGGUCCAGCCAUGCCGCGUGAGUGAUGAAUGCGUUAGGGUUGUAAAGCUCUUUUACCCGAGAUGAUAGUGACGGUACCGGGAGAAUAAGCUCCGGCUAACUCCGUG